ensembl:snRNA U4 U4 spliceosomal RNA
AGCUUUGCGCAGUGGCAGUAUCGUAGCCUAUGAGGUUUAUCCGAGGCGCGAUUAUUGCUAGUUGAAAACUUUACCCAAUACCCCGCCUUGACGACUUGAAAUAUAGUCGGCAACGGCAAUUUUUGACGGUCUCGAAGGAGA